GACUGGAAAGUCGUGGCGUAGAGGGUGAGACCCCCGUAGUCGUAAGCUCAUGGCUCUUUUGCGUUACCCCGAGUAACACCGAACCCCUGAAAUUCGGUGUGAAUCUAGCGGGACCACCCGUUAAGCCUAAAUACUCCUCGAUGACCGAUAGCGGACUAGUACCGUGAGGGAAAGGUGAAAAGUACCCCGGGAGGGGAGUGAAAGAGU
rnacentral:ncRNA from 1 species